AGCUGGUUUCCUAGUCGGGACCUUCAAGAAGAACAGAUGCUGCAAGACUCCUAUCUGGGAAAAGGGUUCCUAGGCAGCUUUGGGUAGACUCUUGUGAGGCUUUGGGUGGGGGUUGCUUUGGGGUUCUGAAGAGGCAGCAAGCAAAGCUAGCUAGAUUUUGGGUAGAGUCUUGUGAGGCUUUGGGUGCUGGUUGCUUUGGAGUUCAAGAAAGAUGCUGCCUGUGAGAAGCCUCAAGAAGCAACAGUUGUAGCAGCAGUAAGAGAACCCUGAGAUUGCCCUCGCAACAGUUGCUGUAGCAACCAAGCCAACAGGCUCCGCCAGCAGCAGCUCUGUAACCGCCCUUGGAGGGCCACUGUCAUUCCUUCAGCUGCUUGCCAUAAUCAGGGUUGGCGUCGUGUACCAUCUGAGGGGAACAGCACUGAGACAGAGCUGAUGGACCUUGAGGGUUCAAGAGAUACUAAGGAACUAAAAUGUGUUCUACGGUCAUCCAAGACAAGGGGAGCCUUCCAACGAUCAUAGUUUGUUUCCACCACAUACCAUGUGCCCCCGUUUGCAUCAAGGCUUGAAGAGAUGACCACAGCAGAGCAUCAAGGCCACCUCUGCUUCCCAUUGCAGAUUAGUCAUUUGCUGAUUCAUGUGACUGCUGCAUCAAAUACCUCAUCACGGCUGUUCAAAAUACUUCAGAUGAAACCUGACACCAAGUAAAACUCCCAAGGCACUGGGUUUUCCUACAAUCUCAAAACUCAGACUAUGUUCCUCAAAAGGUUCCUGAGCUAUCUGAGGAAAUCUGGGUUCAUUACUGGAGUGGAUUACUUGGAUUGAUUAAUGGCUUUGCAUGAGCAUCAUUUGAAAUUUGUGUUUGUUUGUUUUUUAUUAAGUUUUACUUUGAGAUUUUGACUUAGUUUAAAUCCAAAACUCAGAGAAAAAAAAAGAUGAAUACCAACCUAAGCAGUCUGAUGCCAAUAAAUAUAUCUGUACAAAGCUUUCUGUAGCACAGCCGCUGAGUUUUGCAUGGAUCCAUUCCUCCCAGUAAAAGCAGCUAUCAUUCAUGAA